rnacentral:rRNA from 1 species
CCUACGGGUGGCAGCAGUGAGGAAUAUUGGUCAAUGGACGAGAGUCUGAACCAGCCAUGUAGCGUGAAGGAUGACUGCCCUAUGGGUUGUAAACUGCUUUUGUACAAGGAUAAAACGAGGCACGUGUGCCUUUUUGCAUGUACUUUAUGAAUAAGGAUCGGCUAACUCCGUGCCAGCAGCCGCGGGAAUACGGAGGAUCCGAGCGUUAUCCGGAUUUAUUGGGUUUAAAGGGUGCUUAGGGGGGUUUAUAAGUUAGGUGUGAAAGUUUGCGGCUCAACCUAAAAAUUGCAAUUGAUACUGGCAGUCUUGAGUACAGUUGAGGUAGGCGGAAUUCGUGGUGUAGCGGUGAAAUGCUUAGAUAUCACGAAGAACCCCGAUUGCGAAGGCAGCUUACCAAACUGUGACUGACAUUGAUGCUCGAAAGUGUGGGUAUCAAACAGGAUUAGAUACCCCAGUAGUC